CAGUAGCCGCGGUAAUACGUAGGUGGCAAGCGUUAUCCGGAAUUAUUGGGCGUAAAGCGCGCGUAGGCGGUUUUUUAAGUCUGAUGUGAAAGCCCACGGCUCAACCGUGGAGGGUCAUUGGAAACUGGAAAACUUGAGUGCAGAAGAGGAAAGUGGAAUUCCAUGUGUAGCGGUGAAAUGCGCAGAGAUAUGGAGGAACACCAGUGGCGAAGGCGACUUUCUGGUCUGUAACUGACGCUGAUGUGCGAAAGCGUGGGGAUCAAACAGGAUUAGAUACCCCAGUAGUCCCUGUCUCUUAUAC
rnacentral:rRNA from 1 species